AACGAACGCUGGCGGCAUGCCUAACACAUGCAAGUCGAACGAUGCUUUCGGGCAUAGUGGCGCACGGGUGCGUAACGCGUGGGAAUCUGCCCUUGGGUUCGGAAUAACAGUGAGAAAUUGCUGCUAAUACCGGAUGAUGUCUUCGGACCAAAGAUUUAUCGCCCAGGGAUGAGCCCGCGUAGGAUUAGCUAGUUGGUGGGGUAAUGGCCUACCAAGGCGACGAUCCUUAGCUGGUCUGAGAGGAUGAUCAGCCACACUGGGACUGAGACACGGCCCAGACUCCUACGGGAGGCAGCAGUGGGGAAUAUUGGACAAUGGGCGCAAGCCUGAUCCAGCAGUGCCGCGUGAGUGAUGAAGGCCUUAGGGUUGUAAAGCUCUUUUACCCGGGAUGAUAAUGACAGUACCGGGAGAAUAAGCUCCGGCUAACUCCGUG
rnacentral:rRNA from 1 species